AGGCUCGCGGCGCGGCUCCUCCCAUAGAGCAUGUUUGGUAGCCGUUAGACAUGUUGCAGUUUUAGUUUCUACAGAAACGACAUGUCAAUCUAUUGCGCAUUCUUUGAGUAUUAACUACAACGCUUCUUUCAAAUGGGGCCCCAGUGUUGAACUCGAAGUCAUGUUCGCCUCACAAAUCGACGUUUAAGAAAGCAAUGGAAUGAAAGAAGGCACAAUCAUCCGAUUCGACGAUUGCUUGAGAGCUAAAUCUAUUAUGUGUGCUGAUGGUUUGAGGGUAAACAAGGGAAUAUACAGCUAACAAAAGCUAGGUCUCAGUUGGAUGAGGCUACAGAUAUCAUGUAUGUGCAUAUGUGCAUGGUAGCUGACAUAGGAAGUGGCUGCAUCACAACUCGUACUUUACUUUUGUGUGUGGCCAUGCAAGCACCACAGAUAUGAACAAAGACAACAAGACUGUUGUAGUAUUUGACAAGAACAAAGAUGGAUUCAUGCAUGUUGCAAUAACUAGUAUAUAUCUAUAAUCAGAAAUAAUUAUAAACGAUAGUCAAAUCA